UACGUAGGGUGCAAGCGUUAAUCGGAAUUACUGGGCGUAAAGCGUGCGCAGGCGGUUGGGCAAGACAGAUGUGAAAUCCCCGGGCUUAACCUGGGAAUGGCAUUUGUGACUGUUCGGCUAGAGUGUGUCAGAGGGGGGUAGAAUUCCACGUGUAGCAGUGAAAUGCGUAGAGAUGUGAGGAAUACCGAUGGCGAAGGCAGCCCCCUGGGAUAACACUGACGCUCAUGCACGAAAGCGUGGGGAGCAAACAGG
rnacentral:rRNA from 1 species